AUUGAACGCUGGCGGCAUGCCUUACACAUGCAAGUCGAACGGCAGCACGGGUGCUUGCACCUGGUGGCGAGUGGCGAACGGGUGAGUAAUACAUCGGAACAUGUCCUGUAGUGGGGGAUAGCCCGGCGAAAGCCGGAUUAAUACCGCAUACGAUCUACGGAUGAAAGCGGGGGACCUUCGGGCCUCGCGCUAUAGGGUUGGCCGAUGGCUGAUUAGCUAGUUGGUGGGGUAAAGGCCUACCAAGGCGACGAUCAGUAGCUGGUCUGAGAGGACGACCAGCCACACUGGGACUGAGACACGGCCCAGACUCCUACGGGAGGCAGCAGUGGGGAAUUUUGGACAAUGGGCGAAAGCCUGAUCAGCAAUGCCGCGUGUGUGAAGAAGGCCUUCGGGUUGUAAAGCACUUUUGUCCGGAAAGAAAUCCUUGGCCCUAAUACGGUCGGGGGAUGACGGUACCGGAAGAAUAAGCACCGGCUAACUACGUG
rnacentral:rRNA from 1 species